rnacentral:rRNA from 1 species
UACGUAGGGUGCGAGCGUUGUCCGGAUUUAUUGGGCGUAAAGGGUGCGUAGGCGGUCUGGCAAGUCUUGUGUGAAAUCUUCGGGCUCAACCCGAAGUCUGCACAAGAAACUGCCGGGCUUGAGUAUGGGAGAGGUGAGUGGAAUUUCCGGUGUAGCGGUGAAAUGCGUAGAUAUCGGAAGGAACACCUGUGGCGAAAGCGGCUCACUGGACCAUAACUGACGCUGAGGCACGAAAGCUAGGGGAGCAAACAGG